rnacentral:rRNA from 1 species
GAUGAACGCUGGCGGCGUGCCUAAUACAUGCAAGUCGAGCGAACAGACGAGGAGCUUGCUCCUCUGACGUUAGCGGCGGACGGGUGAGUAACACGUGGAUAACCUACCUAUAAGACUGGGAUAACUUCGGGAAACCGGAGCUAAUACCGGAUAAUAUAUUGAACCGCAUGGUUCAAUAGUGAAAGACGGUUUUGCUGUCACUUAUAGAUGGAUCCGCGCCGCAUUAGCUAGUUGGUAAGGUAACGGCUUACCAAGGCGACGAUGCGUAGCCGACCUGAGAGGGUGAUCGGCCACACUGGAACUGAGACACGGUCCAGACUCCUACGGGAGGCAGCAGUAGGGAAUCUUCCGCAAUGGGCGAAAGCCUGACGGAGCAACGCCGCGUGAGUGAUGAAGGUCUUCGGAUCGUAAAACUCUGUUAUUAGGGAAGAACAAAUGUGUAAGUAACCAUGCACGUCUUGACGGUACCUAAUCAGAAAGCCACGGCUAACUACGU